UACGUAGGGGCCUAGCGUUGUCCGGAUUUAUUGGGCGUAAAGAGCUCGUAGGCGGCUUGUUGCGUCGACCGUGAAACCCGUGGCUUAACUGCGGGCUUGCGGUCGAUACGGGCGGGCUGGAGUUCGGUAGGGGAGACUGGAAUUCCUGGUGUAGCGGUGAAAUGCGCAGAUAUCAGGAGGAACACCGGUGGCGAAGGCGGGUCUCUGGGCCGAUACUGACGCUGAGGAGCGAAAGCGUGGGGAGCGAACAGG
rnacentral:rRNA from 1 species